ACGGUCCUAAGGUAGCGAAAUUCCUUGUCGGGUAAGUUCCGACCUGCACGAAUGGCGUAACGACUUGGGCACUGUCUCAACCGGGGACUCGGCGAAAUUGCAGUACGAGUAAAGAUGCUCGUUACCCGCGACAGGACGGAAAGACCCCGGGACCUUUACUGCAGCUUGGUGUUGGGUUCUGGCAGGUGUUGCGUAGGAUAGGCGGGAGGCUUCGAAGCUCGGGCUCCGGCUCGGGUGGAGCCACCCUUGAAAUACCGCCCUUCAUCUGUUGGGACUCUAACCUUGGCCCGUGAUCCGGGUCGGGGACAGCGCCUGGUGGGCAGUUUAACUGGGGCGGUUGCCUCCUAAAAUGUAACGGAGGCGCCCAAAGGUUCCCUCAGUCUGGUUGGCAAUCAGACGUCGAGUGCAAGGGCACAAGGGAGCUUGACUGCGAGACCGACGGGUCGAGCAGGUGCGAAAGCAGGGCCUAGUGAUCCGACGACUCCUAGUGGUAGGGUCGUCGCUCAACGGCUAAAAGGUACCCCGGGGAUAACAGGCUGAUCGCUCCCAAGAGUCCAUAUCGACGGAGCGGUUUGGCACCUCGAUGUCGGCUCGUCUCAUCCUGGGGCUGGAGCAGGUCCCAAGGGUCGGGCUGUUCGCCCGUUAAAGAGGCACGCGAGCUGGGUUUAGAACGUCGUGAGACAGUUCGGUCCCUAUCCGUCGUGGGCGUAGGAGACUUGCGGGGAGCUGCCCCUAGUACGAGAGGACCGGGGCGGACGCACCUCUGGUGUGCCAGUUGUCGCGCCAGCGGCACGGCUGGUUAGCCACGUGCGGCAGAGAUAAGCGCUGAAAGCAUCUAAGUGCGAAACUCGCCCCUAGAUGAGGUCUCCCACUGGGUCGACCAGGUAAGGCCCCUCGCAGACUACGAGGUUGAUAGGCCGGAGGUGUACGCGUGGCAACACGUUGAGCCGACCGGUACUAAUAGGCCGAGGACUUGGCUUC
rfam:Actinobacteria bacterium RBG_19FT_COMBO_70_19 rbg_19ft_combo_scaffold_4429, whole genome shotgun sequence.